GGAGUGAUGCCCGAGCGGCUGAAGGGGCUCCCCUGCUAAGGGAGUAUAGAGUCAAAAGCUCUAUCGAGGGUUCGAAUCCCUCUCACUCCGCCA
rnacentral:tRNA from 1 species